rnacentral:rRNA from 1 species
GGUUGAUCCUGCCGGAGGCUACUGCUAUCGGGGUCCGACUAAGCCAUGCGAGUUGAGAGGGGUAAGCCCUCGGCAUAUUGCUCAGUAACACGCGGAUAACCUGCCCUUGGGUCUGGGAUAACCCCGGGAAACUGGGACUAAUACCGGAUAGAUCAAAGAAACUGGAAUGUUCUCUGGUCUAAAACUCUGGUGCCCAAGGAGGGGUCUGCGGCCUAUCAGGUAGUAGUGGGUGUAACGUACCUACUAGCCUACGACGGGUAAGGGUUGUGAGAGCAAGAGCCCUGAGAUGGAUUCUGAGACAUGAAUCCAGGCCCUACGGGGUGCAGCAGGCGCGAAAACUUUACACUGCGGGAAACCGCGAUAAGGGGACCCCGAGUGCCAGCACCUAGUGCUGGCUGUCCAGCUGUCCAAAUAACAGUUGUUAGCAAGGGCCGGGCAAGACCGGUGCCAGCCGCCGCGGUAACACCGGCGGCCCGAGUGGUAGCCGUUAUUAUUGGGUUUAAAGGGUCCGUAGCCGGCCUAUUAAGUCUCUUGGGAAAUCUGGCGACUUAAUCGUCAGGCGUCCAAGAGAUACUGGUAGGCUUGGGACCGGGAGAGGUGGGAGGUACUCCAGGGGUAGGGGUGAAAUCUCGUAAUCCUUGGGGGACCACCGAUGGCGAAGGCAUCCCACCAGAACGGGUCCGACGGUGAGGGACGAAAGCUGGGGGCACGAACCGGAUUAGAUACCCGGGUAGUCCCAGCUGUAAACGAUGCUCGCUAGGUGUCAGGUGCGGUGCGACCGCAUCUGGUGCCGCAGUGAAAACUUGAAGCGAGUCACCUGGGAAGUACGGUCGCAAGGCUGAAACUUAAAGGAAUUGGCGGGGGAGCACUACAACGGGUGGAGCCUGCGGUUCAAUUGGAUUCAACGCCGGG